rnacentral:rRNA from 1 species
CCUACGGGAGGCUGCAGUGGGGAAUAUUGGACAAUGGGCGAAAGCCUGAUCCAGCCAUGCCGCGUGUGUGAAGAAGGCCUUCGGGUUGUAAAGCACUUUCAGGGGGGAAGAAAGCCUUGGGGCUAAUACCCUCGAGGAAGGACAUCACCCACAGAAGAAGCACCGGCUAACUCCGUGCCAGCAGCCGCGGUAAUACGGAGGGUGCGAGCGUUAAUCGGAAUUACUGGGCGUAAAGCGCGCGUAGGCGGUCUGAUAAGCCGGUUGUGAAAGCCCCGGGCUCAACCUGGGAACGGCAUCCGGAACUGUCAGGCUAGAGUGCAGGAGAGGAAGGUAGAAUUCCCGGUGUAGCGGUGAAAUGCGUAGAGAUCGGGAGGAAUACCAGUGGCGAAGGCGGCCUUCUGGACUGACACUGACGCUGAGGUGCGAAAGCGUGGGUAGCAAACAGGAUUAGAUACCCGGGUAGUC